GGAGUUAGCCGGUGCUUCUUCUGUGAGUGAUGUCCUUCCUGCCGGCUAUUAACCCGCAGGCCUUCUUCCUCACUGAAAGUGCUUUACAACCCGAAGGCCUUCUUCACACACGCGGCAUCGGCUGGAUCAGGGUUGCCCCCAUUGUCCAAUAUUCCCCACUGCUGCCUCCCGUAGGAGUCUGGGCCGUGUCUCAGUCCCAGUGUGGCUGAUCAUCCUCUCAGACCAGCUACGGAUCGUCGCCUUGGUGAGCCGUUACCUCACCAACCAGCUAAUCCGACAUAGGCUCAUCCGAUAGCGCGAGGCCCGAAGGUCCCCCGCUUUCCCCCGUAGGGCGUAUGCGGUAUUAGCCUGGGUUUCCCCAGGUUAUCCCCCACUACCGGGCAGAUUCCUAUGCAUUACUCACCCGUCCGCCGCUCGCCACCAGGGAGCAAGCUCCCCGUGCUGCCGCUCGACUUGCAUGUGUUAGGCCUGCCGCCAGCGUUCAAUCUGAGCCAGAAUCAAACUCUGA
rnacentral:rRNA from 1 species